GUCCUCCUCACAGGGUGAGUUCUCUGACAAGGAAGUUUUGCAACCCAGUUUACAGCUGGAGCCAAGCUUGUCAGUGAGUGCCAGAGGGAAACUGUCGCAAUUGGCUGGCUAAGUAUGUUCAUUUAACAAGGGUCUCUGAAGAGCUAUCAAAAACUGCUUGCCAUCUUUCCAAAUCAUCUCUGUCUGCAGUGACCAUGUCUUAAUCCUGAAGGAAAACAAGACAUGGUAAUUAGAAACCAGGAAGACUGAGAAAGAAUCAGAUUUGCAGCAGCUCAGUAAGCGGUAGACCUGGAACAAGAAGCCAGUUUUCUGAGCUCCUGAAGCAAGGCCCCCCCUGCCACUUCGUCUUUCCCCAGGACAGGAGGUGUCAUCUACUACUUAGACCAGAAGAUAGGAUGCAAAAUCUCAACGGAGGAAUUUCUUACAGAAUGCAAUUGCACUAGAAAAGACAAUCUUGCUUGAAGAUGUGACUGACCUCAGACACAGGAAUUCAGACAUCUUACUGCCUGCCUCUUUGCCAUUAAGAAAACAGAUACUGGCUCCCCAAACCCACGAUUAAGAAAGAAGCUGGAAGAACUCUCAGAAUAGUUUUCAAGAUCAUGAGUGCCCUUGCCAAAACUCAGUGGAAAAGUCUCUAGAGAAACAGAGGUCAUAGAAGUUUAAAGAUACCUUGUUUGUAAUUCUAAUUUACCUGGAUUACAUGGAACAUGUUCAUAAGACAUCAUCUGUGUUUUCUGGUUUUGGCUACUCUCAAGUUAACAAGAAUGUAAAGCCAUCUGAGUGGAUAUUUCUUCUGUAUCUUUAUUAUUUGCAUCCUUUCCGAUCAUUCAAAGUCGCCUACCCCACACUUCUUUUGCAGUCCCAAAUAUUUAUAAGAAAAGAAGCCUCAAUAAAACAUAAAUUUAAUUCACUGAGAACUCACCAGAAGACUAAGUACUCAAAAUAACAGAAGAUAGCAAGUGCAUCGUGCUAAUGGAGAAUUUGGGAGAAAUUCCUCACCUUUGGAAGACUCCCUGAAAGGGUUGACACGUAAUUCUGAAAGGUGAAUGUGAAUUAUCCAGGUGAGGUGAAUGAAAAGCAACAAAAAAGAAAGAAAACUGGGAUGUUUUUCAGUAAGAAAAAAUAUUUAUAACUUAUGGUUACAUUUAUGGAUUAUAGUCACAUAAAUUAGUUUAGUAAAGAUUUUGUCCUGAUCUUAGAUAUCAACAUUAGAAUGUAUUUGCUGAGCAUUUCUUGUGAAAUGAUGUUUGAAAUUCUAAAGUAUUUGUGGGAAAUUCAGAUAUUCCUAUGUGGCUGUAGUCACUAUAUCAGUUAGAAAUUGCAUUUGGCUGUAGGAGACCUGUACAACAGUGGGUUUAAAGAGGUAGAGAUUUAUUUAUUCCUCUUCCACACAGAGGAAAUGUAGAAGCACAUGGUUCAGGGCUGCUGUGGUAUGGUCAGUUAUCACUGUAAUGGUUAGUUUUAUGUGUCCACUUGACUAGGCCAUGGAGGGCCUAGAUAUUUGGUCAAGUAUUAUUCUGGGUGUGCCUGAGGGUGUUUGUGAUGAGAUUAACAUUUAACCCGGUAGACUGAGUAGAGCAGAUUGUCCUCCCUAAAGUUUCUAGGCCUUUUACAAUCCGUUGAAGGUCUGAAUAGAACCAAAAGGCUAAAUAAGAGAGAAAUACCAUUCAAGAAUUGCCUUCAAGCAGGGACUUCAGUCUUCUCUCUACUUAAACUGAAACAUCAGUUCUUCCUGGGACUUGAGACAGUUGGACUUCACAGUGGAACUGAAGUCCAACAGUUGGCUCUCCUGGGUCCCCAGCUUGCUGAUGGCCCAUCUUGGGACUUGUCAGCCCUCAUAACCUCAUGAGACCAAUUGUUUAUAGUAAGUCUCUCUCUCUCUCUCUCUUUCUCUCUUUAUCCUCUCUUCCUUCCCCUCCCCUUCCCUUCUUCUUCCCUCUCUCUCUCCCUCAUUCUCUCUCUCUCUCUCUCGCUCUCUUUUAAAUGCUGACUUUUAUUGUGGAGCUCCAGCCCUCAAUUUUUUGUUCCAAGCAGCAAGCUGAAGAAAGAUGGGAGGGCUGACAUCCAGCCAAAUCAGCUCACCCUACACCUUCUGCUACAACUUACUGGCCAGCUCUUCGUCAUGUGGCCUCUUUAUCUGAAAAGGAAGCUAGAAAAUGCAGUUUCUCAGUUGGGUGCACUGCCGUUCUUGCACCCAGUAGAAGACAGAGUUCUGCUCAGGAAGAAGUAAAGAUUGUACAUUGUAUAGACAUCUUUCAGUCUUUCUCACAGCAACUAAUGCCGUUUGGCACAUAGUAAACAUUCCAUAAAUAUGAAUUGAAUCAAAAAAUUUAAAUGUUCAUAAAAUUAUCCAUUUUUCAUAGAAUUGUAAAGAAACAAAGUAUUGAGCUCUGAGUUCUAUUACUCUACUCUGUUCAUAAAUUUGUGUAAAAUAUAAAUCCUAAAGAAAUGUUGAAUGACUUUUAAGUGCGGAGAAUUUUUCGAAUUAUGUUAAUGAAUUGUUGUAGAAUAAUCUUCUUAGAGAAUAACUGGUAAAAUUGUAUCAGACAGAUAAUAGUGACAUAAAUAUAUAAAUUAUUUAAAUGUAAAUCAAUUCUUCUAAGUUGUUCUAGCAUAUUUGAAGAGUUACAUAUUUUUAAUAAGUUCAAACAUCCCUCUUUCGUCUUAUGAUAUUAUUCUAAGAAAAAUGUUCUUUAUCGAAAGUAAAACCUAAAUUUCAGCCAGGGCU